UCCGGAAGACAGAGCUUUCUGUGUUGUUAGUGUCAGCCUUUGUGUCAUAGACUGCAAAUCUCCCUGCUCACUGCUGCUCCACUAAGGCAGCAAAUCAGCUUCAUGCUCUUCUGGCUGAAGGCUUUUGGAAUGGAUAAGAGCAAGGGGAGGGAAAAAAAACCUGCUUCCUUGACAGGGGCAGUCCUAAAGGCUGGCUGCGGAGUGUGCAGCCACUUGCACAACAUUAUUGCACUCUUCCACGGUGGCAAGUUUGAAGAUGAAUACCUGAAGUACUGUGAGGCAGAUUUAAGCACAAGCACCAGCAGCUCAUGCCAAAGCUCCGCUCCCAGACCUAUGAACUGAUGCCAAGCCUCCUGUUUUCAAUUACGCAAACCUUCCACCUCCUGCUCCAGAGGCUGCAAGCACAGAUCCUCCACAUAAGAAUCACGCCACAUAUAGAGCCGAAUCUGAGAAGUGAAGUGGGAAGGAAACAACAGCGUGAGAGGAAGCUGGGUGAAGAGCGAUCAUCAAGAGAGAAAAGAAACAUAAAGCAGGAUAAGCAGCUUUCAGGCACUUGCACUGGAGCACCAGGGAAUGGAUUCUGCAUGGAGCACUGUGUUAUCCAGCCAGCUUCACAUAACCAAAGAAGACCCAUAGAAGAGCCUUAGCUGGACAGCAGAAGACUUGGCACCAGCGCAAAAAUGGAUGUUCCUCACCAGCCUCUUCCUUCAGAUGUAAUUUAAAAAUGAAGGGGGAUCUCAGGAGAUACCUGUCCUGGAAACACAGAAAGUUUCAGAUGAACCUUAACAGCUUUAACCUGGUCAGACUAAGAGACAGCUACUUACUUGAUCAGGUCAGUAUUUAGGCAUAAUGUUCUUGUGACUGACAUUUCCAGGUUUACACAGAAGCAAACUUUAAAAGAUUUCCCAUGGAAAUGUUUACAGUACUUUUUUACUUUAUCUGGGAUUAGAUCAUAGCUUUGGUUGGAAGGGACCUUAAGGACCAUCUAAUUCCAACCCUCUGCCAUAGGCAGGAACACCUUUCACUAGGACAGGUUGUGCAAAGCCCUAUCCAACCUGGCAUCCACAGCUUCUCCAGGCAGCUUGUGCCAGUGCCUCACUGCCCUCUGAGUAAAGGAUUUCUUCCUAACACCUAAUCUAAAUGUACCCUCUUUUAGUUUAAAGCCAUUAUUACUUGUCUUAUCAUUACACAUCCUAGGAAGGAGUCUCUCCGCCUCUUUCAUUUGCGUCCUCUUUAAGUAUUGGAAGGUCAUAGAGAUCGUGUCCAGGUUAGGGCUUUUAUUGUUGUGUAUUGGUCUCAGGUAUUUAAAGUGUACAGAAUCUCUGUUCAAAGAUCUGAGUAUUUGCAACCGAGUUUGUACAUGGAAAUGCUCAUCUCCUGGGUAGUUACCUUUUGUGUUACUGCUUUUAGAAGGUUUUCUGCACAACCAGUUUUUCACUGAGAGCAGAAGACAUCCUGUUCUUUGCUAGCCAUUUAGAAGACUGAGAAACAACAUUCCUUCAUUUCAUCCACAGUUAGGCAGCUUUGAGAGCGUAACACAAAAAGAUUUACUUAUGUGCAUUUUUGCAUAUAGGAAUGCAAGCAUAUAAAGCAUUACAGGAAUUACUAAUCUUACUAGUUCAUCUGAGCAAAAAGGCCACCUGCCUUCUAUGCACUUAAGAUUACUCUUCCACUUGCUUAAGAUUUUUUUUUAUUGUAUAAUUUCCUAUUUUUAGCACCUUAACCUUAGGUUCAUCUCGGUGGCUUCAUGCAAUCUCUGCUUUAUUCAUAUAUAUAUGUAUAUACAUCAAGGUGUAAGUAAAGAUAGCCUGUAUUUGUUUUAAUGACAGUGUAAAGUCUCUGGCCACAUUUAAUUUGUGUUUUAUUUAGGCUGGGGAAAUUAGCUGCUAAGACUGCCUUUUCUGACUCCUAAGCAGAACUGCCUACUCUUGCAUAAGCAAAGCUGUGUUUCAACUCUUUACAAUGUGGUUAUUGUAGUAUAGAAGUCAAACAUUCAGCUGCUGAACGGGGAAACAUGUUCCACUUCGAUCUGUUUAUUUAAGCAUUAGCAUCAUACAUAGUUGGUGGUUAGUGAGCAUAACUUCCUCCUCCUGUGUUUGAGAAGCUGAUUGUUAGAAGUUGGGCCUUUCGAGCAUGGUGACAGUAAGUCAAAGAGGAUGCAGUUCUCUCCAAAUAAAGUUACUCCUUUCUGUUGGAGAAUAAGUAGG
rnacentral:lncRNA from 1 species